rnacentral:rRNA from 1 species
CAGCAGCCGCGGGAAUACGAAGGGUGCAAGCGUUACUCGGAAUUACUGGGCGUAAAGCGUGCGUAGGUGGUGGUUUAAGUCCGUUGUGAAAGCCCUGGGCUCAACCUGGGAAUUGCAGUGGAUACUGGGUCACUAGAGUGUGGUAGAGGAUAGUGGAAUUUCCGGUGUAGCAGUGAAAUGCGUAGAGAUCGGAAGGAACAUCUGUGACGAAGGCGACUAUCUGGGCCAACACUGACACUGAGGCACGAAAGCGUGGGGAGCAAACAGGAUUAGAUACCCCAGUAGUCCCUGUCUCUUAUAC